GUCAUCAGAGAGGAUCCACCCAGCAACUGACUGAAACAAAUGCAGAGACCCACAGCCAAACAUUACACAGAGCUCCCGGAAUCCAGUGGAAGAAGGAGAAGGAGGAUUGUAGGAACCAGAGGCAUCAAGGAUACCACAAGAAAACCCACAGAAUCAACUAACCUAGGCUCAUAAGCAUGCUCCCAGCUAGCUGCUCCAGAACCUUCCAGCUGUCUUACCUAACCAUAGGUGUCCUGGGAUUGCAGUUGUGCACCCCUUUAUCCAGCUGUUUUCUUUCUUAACAUGGGUUCCAGGGGCCAAACGCCAGUCAUCAGGUUUGCAUGACAACUGCUUUUACCUACCAGUCCAUUGUCAUGGGCCUCUAAGUUUUUAUUUCAACAACGAAUCAUUUUUCCCUUGGGCACAGCUGUCACCAAGAAAAACACUUAGAACAGAUGCCAAGACUUUGAAAUGGAGAAACCAGUUCCCUGGGUGAAUGUAACAGAUGAGGCAUGAAGAAGCGAUGGGCUCAACAGAGACAUGAGAGACAAAGACACAAAGCCAAGGGCUUGAGAAGAGCUGACAUUGACAAAGUCUUAGGUCCAAAAGAGCAGUAACCAGGGAUCUGGUGGACUAUCCUAUUUCCUCUGGGAUGAAUCUCCUUCUGCAUAAACAGUCCUUCUGACUGUCAGCCAUUUGCCUAAAAGGGCGUUAUGAAAGUUCCAGGUGAUUACUUCUGGAGUACGAACCUCCCUCUAUGUUGUCUCUUAUCUACCUAGCAAACAUUACAUCAAGUGCCUCUAGAAUGUGCCAUACAACCCUUCCUUCCUCU